rnacentral:rRNA from 1 species
GUAGGGGGCAAGCGUUAUCCGGAUUUACUGGGUGUAAAGGGAGCGCAGGCGGCCAGGCAAGUCUGAUGUGAAAUACCGGGGCUCAACCCCGGAACUGCAUUGGAAACUGUCAGGCUGGAGUGUCGGAGAGGCAGGCGGAAUUCCUGGUGUAGCGGUGAAAUGCGUAGAUAUCAGGAGGAACACCAGUGGCGAAGGCGGCCUGCUGGACGAUGACUGACGCUGAGGCUCGAAAGCAUGGGUAGCGA